GACGAACGCUGGCGGCGUGCUUAACACAUGCAAGUCGAGCGGUAAGGCCCUUUCGGGGGUACACGAGCGGCGAACGGGUGAGUAACACGUGGGUGACCUGCCCUCAGCUCUGGGAUAAGCCUGGGAAACUGGGUCUAAUACUGGAUAUGACUCCACGGUGCAUGUCGUGGGGUGGAAAGCCUUGUGCGGCUGAGGAUGGGCCCGCGGCCUAUCAGCUUGUUGGGGGGUGAUGGCCUACCAAGGCGACGACGGGUAGCCGGCCUGAGAGGGCGACCGGCCACACUGGGACUGAGACACGGCCCAGACUCCUACGGGAGGCAGCAGUGGGGAAUAUUGCGCAAUGGACGAAAGUCUGACGCAGCAACGCCGC
rnacentral:rRNA from 1 species